rfam:Asian citrus Psyllid, Diaphorina citri - Florida Strain, whole genome shotgun sequence.
GCCUAGUUAGCUUAGUUGGUAGUGCGUCUGCCUUGUAACCGCUAGGCCGCGGGUUCGAUUCCCGCCCGGGGCG